rnacentral:miRNA from 1 species
CUUGUAAUUCUAUAGGUUGGUGCAAAAGUAAUUGCAGUUUUGCCAUUACUUUCAGUGGCAAAAGCUGCAGUUACUUUUGCACUAAC